UGAGGAAUAUUGGUCAAUGGGCGAGAGCCUGAAGCAGCCAAGUAGCGUGCAGGAUGACGGCCCUAUGGGUUGUAAACUGCUUUUAUGUGGGGAUAAAGUGCGUGACGUGUCAUGCAUUGCAGGUACCACAUGAAUAAGGACCGGCUAAUUCCGUGCCAGCAGCCGCGGUAAUACGGAAGGUCCGGGCGUUAUCCGGAUUUAUUGGGUUUAAAGGGAGCGUAGGCUGUCUAUUAAGCGUGUUGUGAAAUUUACCGGCUCAACCGGUGGCUUGCAGCGCGAACUGGUCGACUUGAGUAUGCAGGAAGUAGGCGGAAUUCAUGGUGUAGCGGUGAAAUGCUUAGAUAUCAUGACGAACUCCGAUUGCGCAGGCAGCUUACUGUAGCAUAACUGACGCUGAUGCUCGAAAGUGCGGGUAUCAAACAGG
rnacentral:rRNA from 1 species